rnacentral:rRNA from 1 species
GCGAUCACACAAGCACUAAUGCACCGGAUCCCAUCAGAACUCCGCAGU